rnacentral:rRNA from 1 species
AUUGAACGCUGGCGGCAUGCUUUACACAUGCAAGUCGAACGGCAGCACGGACUUCGGUCUGGUGGCGAGUGGCGAACGGGUGAGUAAUACAUCGGAACGUGCCCAGUUGUGGGGGAUAACUACUCGAAAGAGUAGCUAAUACCGCAUGAGAACUGAGGUUGAAAGCAGGGGAUCGUAAGACCUUGCGCAACUGGAGCGGCCGAUGGCAGAUUAGGUAGUUGGUGGGAUAAAAGCUUACCAAGCCGACGAUCUGUAGCUGGUCUGAGAGGGCGACCAGCCACACUGGGACUGGGAGACGGCCCAGACUCCUACGGGAGGCAGCAGUGGGGAAUUUUGGACAAUGGGCGAAAGCCUGAUCCAGCAAUGCCGCGUGCAGGAUGAAGGCCUUCGGGUUGUAAACUGCUUUUGUACGGAACGAAAAGCUUCGGGCUAAUACCCUGGAGUCAUGACGGUACCGUAAGAAUAAGCACCGGCUAACUUCGUGCCAGCAGCCGCCGUAACAC